GGGAAUUCUCUACUCCAGACAUACAAAAGCAUGAAAACCAGUGAUACACCCAAGAAUGGGGAACGGAAGAAGGGGAUUACAGAUAAAGCCAAUAAUGUCAGAGCUCCAAAUAUCAUCAUCCACAGAAAAUCUGCUGUUCGUCUUUGAAAAGGUCCACUCUCUAGUUGCACUCCAUAUCUCGCUAUCAUUAAGAGGCGAAUCCCAAAAUUAAUUGAGAACUUCCCAAGAAAGAAGAAAUUUGUAAUCAAUCUCCAUACCUGAAAACGAUAGAGUACUAGCUCAUAUAAUAAUGCAAUAUCAGCAGGGUGAUAAAAACCCAACUGAUAUGCAAUGGUAAACAGCAGA
rnacentral:misc_RNA from 1 species